rnacentral:rRNA from 1 species
UACGUAGGGUGCAAGCGUUGUCCGGAAUUAUUGGGCGUAAAGAGCUCGUAGGCGGUCUGUCGCGUCGGAUGUGAAAACCCGGGGCUCAACCCCGGGCCUGCAUUCGAUACGGGCAGACUAGAGUUCGGUAGGGGAGUCUGGAAUUCCUGGUGUAGCGGUGAAAUGCGCAGAUAUCAGGAGGAACACCGGUGGCGAAGGCGGGACUCUGGGCCGAUACUGACGCUGAGGAGCGAAAGCGUGGGGAGCAAACAGG